CCCAUUGAGUUUAAGAAUAUCAAUAAAUGAAGGAAAAGAAACUUAUAAGGAUUCUCUUAGUAACAACGAGAGAAUUGGGAAUAGCCCAACCUUAGAAUCGGGAGGCUCUUUCAUCCGAAUUAUAGUCUGGAGAAGCAUCCUCAUUGGUGGACCAGGCCCAAUUACCCUGCAAGGAGGCGUAAGAGAGGGUGAGAUCCUCAUUGUGCUCAGACUUUGUCGCACAACAAGGUGCUAUCUACGAGUUGGUUGUUUGGGACUGCAACCCAAAUUAGGCAGUGAAUUCUGUCUAAGGCUGAAUACGACCGAAAGAAGGAUAGCGAACAAGUACCGCAAGGGAAAGAUGAAAAGGAGUUUGAAAUGAAAGUCAAAGAGUUCUUGAAAUUAUCAGGAGGUAGGCAGAUGGGGGUUGGAGAUAUGCCCUAGUGGGAUGUAGAGCGGCAACGAGUCGGUUCGCUGAUCGACUUUCAACAUGGACGAACUUGGAUUGGGGGCGGCCAAAGCUUGAGUUCUCGAUAUGCUCAUCAAAUGCCGUCUUCUUGAUUGUGGUAACUAGCAUGUGCGUAUGGAGUGCUUUGGUAUUUGGGCACUCUAAACGCUGGCCUUUGGGAUCCCCAUUUGACUCUUAAAACAUGG
rnacentral:ncRNA from 1 species